AUACGUAGGGUGCAAGCGUUAAUCGGAAUUACUGGGCGUAAAGCGUGCGCAGGCGGUUUUGUAAGACAGUGGUGAAAUCCCCGGGCUCAACCUGGGAACUGCCAUUGUGACUGCAAGGCUGGAGGGCGGCAGAGGGGGAUGGAAUUCCGCCUGUAGCAGUGAAAUGCGUAGAUAUGCGGAGGAACACCGAUGGCGAAGGCAAUCCCCUGGGCCUGCACUGACGCUCAUGCACGAAAGCGUGGGGAGCAAACAGGAUUAGAUACCCUGGUAGUCCACGCCCUAAACGAUGUCAACUGGUUGUUGGGGAUUUAUUUUCUCAGUAACGAAGCUAACGCGUGAAGUUGACCGCCUGGGGAGUACGGCCGCAAGGUUAAAACUUAAAGGAAUGGACGGGG
rnacentral:rRNA from 1 species